rnacentral:rRNA from 1 species
GACGAACGCUGGCGGCAUGCCUAACACAUGCAAGUCGAACGAAACCUUCGGGCCUUGGGGCGCUCGUGUGCGUACCGCGUGGGAACCUGCCCUUAGGUACGGAAUACCUCACCGUGGGAGGUCUUAAUACAGCUUAAUGUCUUAGCACCUAGGAUUUGUUGCUGCUGGAUGGGCGCGCGUUGGUUUAGCUGGUUGGUAGGGUACAAGCCUACCAUGGCGACGUUCCAGGGCUGGUCGGAGAGGAUGAUCAGCUACACUGGGACUGAGACACGGCCCAGACUCCGACGGGAGGGAGCAGAGGGGAGCAUAGGGCGAGGAGCCAAAGCCUGAUCCAGCAACGCGGCGUAUGUGAGGAAUGCCUUAGGGUUGUAAUGCUCUUUGUCCCGGGGCGAUAGUGACGGUACCGGGUGAAGAAGCACCGGCUAACUACGUG